CUUCAUAUUUACUAAUUGGCAAAAUGCAACUAUAUUUUGCUUAGACACCUGAUCCUGGCAGUAAUCUUGUUGUUUGCUGAUGAUUUAACAAGGAAUUAGAAUUCUAAACAGCUGUAAAACAUACUCAGAAAUAUUUGCCCUUGACCAAAUCACAGCUUUGAGUUUAUUUUUAAUCCCUGUAAAAGAGAUUUGAUAAACCACAGAAAUUGGCUAUGAGUUUUGCACCUGCCAUGACUUACUAUUUGAGAUUUGUCUUUCUACUGUUGUAAGAUAUCAAGUGUAUUUAUGCCAGUUUACAUAGUGCAGUCUGUUCCCUUAACUGCCUCAGUAUAAAGUACCUGUAGCUUUUAAAUUUAGUGACUUUCAGAACACUUUAAAAGAAUACAUCUUGAAAGCAGAGAGAAAAUCAACAGUGUAUUGUAUUAUUUUGAUGUAACUGGAGAAGCUGCCUGCAGACCAAGUAUCAUCAGCUGUUCCCUUUCAGUACAAAUGAAGUGAGACAACUUGUCCUUGGGAUCUUGAAAGUCUCAACUCUUUGUUUGUGUUUACAGAACAUAGUUUUCCCAUGGAAAAUAAUAAAUUGGGGAAUGAUGUCUAGUCUUACAGUAAUCUUGUGAACUUCACAGCUAUACUGGUUUUACUGCACUCUGUGAGCCCCAACCAUGCUAAUGAGCCUUAAUUUCCUAGUGUGGUCCCACCUGAGACUACCACCCCACCCCACACACCCUGCCCGUAGGACAAAAGCUCAGGGUGGAGUUCAUUUCUUUUGUUCUUGGAAGUUGAAUAGCAGAAAGGGACUUUUCAGCUUUUCCUGAUAAAGGUUACACCAAUUUCACUUAGACUACAAGACGAAGAUUUCCUGAAAAUUGAGAUCUUCAGGUAAGGACAGAACUCAUUUUUAAACAAAUGUGGACUUAAGAAAGAAAAAUAGUGCCAGCAUUAACUGAACACAGAGGGUAGUUACUGUUUGUGAUCUAGAAUUUGAAAAACUGAAGAAAAGUCACUUGAGAUGUGUUGAAAGUGAUGCAAGCUAUAGUAAACAGGCUACUUGAAAAAGACCCAGAUACACACUUAUGGAUGGUUUUACUAUUUUGAAUGCUUUGUACCUAGCAUGUCUUUUGAGGAAGGAAUGGUAAAGAACUGUCUUCGGACAGAAAAAUGGGAGUGAGCUGAAAAGGUGCUCAUGGGCAGCUCUCUGAUACCAGGUUUUAGCAAAAUGACUGGUGCAGAUUGCUUGUUGUAGUCUCUCUCUUAUGUUUUGGGGAACUUUGGUGGACUCAAACUUCAUGUUCAGGAACUGUUCUUAGUCCCCUAGGGAUUGUUGCUAAAUAAUAGCAAGUCCAGUAACUGAAGUUGUCCUUGUUUUACUGAUCUCUCCCCUGGGAUAAACAAGCAGUAGCUCUGCAGAGCGAAAAAUCAGCAGCUCUUUGUUUAUACAAUCUGUUAAAAUGCCUGCUUUGUGCAUAAGAAUUCGGGCAUUUUCAAGACAACUGUUGAAAGAUUAUUUUUUCGUUAUGGGAACAGUCCUUGUUUGCUGGAGAUGGCCAUGUAAAGUGCAUACUUACAGCUGACAUAAUACGUAAGUCUUUAUACUUUCUCACAUUUCUCACAUAAUGGGGUGGGGACUGUGCAUAUUUUUACUUCUAAUACAGACUAGUACAAUGCGAGUGAGCAGUUCAUGUAUUUAUGAGUAAGAGAAAAAUCCACUAAUACGAUAGCCAUUUGCAAAACAUAUGAAGUUAGUGUUUAAAACUUUCAGUGCAGCAUUCCA
ensembl:lncRNA